rnacentral:lncRNA from 1 species
AUCAAAGUGAACAGGAUUUACAUUGAACCAAUAUAUAGUCCAAAUGUAUUUAUACCUAGACACAGGGAUAUUUAUAGCAUAAAGUUUCUUAAUUUAUUCAUUUAUUUGCAGAUUCCAUUUCUAUAGCGUAUUGUUCAUAUUAAAACAGAUGUCUUUUUUCCAAAAGGAGCUGCCUAAAAAAUACAAAAUUUAAAUAUUGAUCCAUUUUACAUUUAAAGACCCUUUAAAAAUUU